GACCAAUAGGCAGUUUCAGGCUUGUAAGCGAAGAUUCAAAGAAGAAAAUUCAAGAUACUAUAGAUAAUUCAGAAAAACAUAAGAAAGAGAGAGAGAGCAA